CUACGGGCUGCUCCAGUCGAGAAUCGUCUACAAUGGGGGAAACCCUGAUAGUGCGACGCCGCGUGAACGAUGAAACCCUUCGGGGCGUAAAGUUCUUUUCUUUGUGAGCAGAUUAUUUAAUGAGAAUAUUGUUUAAUAAUAGAUAUUGGCAAAGGAAUAAGCCACGGCUAACUCCGUGCCAGCAGCCGCGGUAAUACGGGGGUGGCAAGCGUUGCCCGGAAUCACUAGGCGUAAAGGGCAGGUAGGCGGACUGGUAAGUCAGAUGUUAAAGGCACAGGCUCAACCUGUGUAGGGCAUUUGAUACUGUCAGUCUAGAGUUAGGUAUGGGAGGACGGAAUUUCUGGUGUAGCGGUGGAAUGCGCAGAUAUCAGAAAGAACACCAAAGGCGAAGGCAGUUCUCUUAGCCAUAACUGACGCUAAACUGCGAAGGUGUGGGUAUCAAACAGGAUUAGAUACCCGGGUAGUC
rnacentral:rRNA from 1 species